rnacentral:rRNA from 1 species
AUGAAAAACAAAAAUAUUUUAUCAUCACCUGAGGAGAUCUCUCAUCCGGAAUUCGACAGAAACAAGCACUGUCUUCUCUGUUCAGAGCUGAAGCAACUUUAUGUUGCCAUCACACGAACUAGGCAAAGAUUGUGGAUAUGUGAAACGGCAGAUGAUUACUGUCGGCCAAUGUUUGACUUCUGGAACAAGUUGUGUCUUGUAGAAGUAAGAUUACUUGAUUCUUCCUUCAUUGAAGCAAUGAAGACAGGAAGCAGCACUGAUGAUUGGAGGCGACGGGGCACCAAGGCUAAUGAUGCAUACAGAGAGAAGUGGGCAAGAGCUGGCGGACUUGUAGCAACUGCAGACAGUGUCAUGCCUAAGAAUUUGGAGCUGGGCCAGGCUUCAUUGCAAAAAGCGGCAGAGAUUUAUGAAUCUAUUGGCAUGCACGAGAAAGCUGCCAGUUGCUAUAUCAAGUUACACGACUACAAAAGAGCAGGAAUGAUGUAUAUGCAAAAUUGCAGCACUUCAAGGCUUGAGGAUGCUGGUGACUGUUUUGCUAUGACUGAAUGCUGGUCAGAAGCAGCCGAAGCGUACUUCAAAGCUAAAUGUUAUACCAAAUGUCUCUGCAUGUGCUCUAAACGAAAACUAUUCAGUUUAGGGCUCCAGUUCCUAGAGCAGUUGUGGGAGGAAGCUUCAGUUGAUGAGUCGAACAUUGGUCUACUUUACUCGCCAGCUGCAUAUGGUCUGAUUGUUGAUUCCCUUGAUGCACAUCUCAGGCCGUCAAAUAAGAAACUGACACAUGGGCAACUUGGGAGAAUGGCCAUACUUCUGCUACACGUAGUACCUUGGGGUGCCAUGCUGACUUCAAGACUUAUGCAGUACCUGGACAGCGAAUCUGAGUGGACAAAUUUUUUUCAAUCUUUGGAUAUAUUUGUUCACCACAGUCGUUAUGAUUUUUUCGAACACAUAGAAAGUCAACACCCUAGUGGUCUUGAUGGCAGAUAUUCCUUGCUCCUGAACCUAAAGCUUGCUCUUGAGUCCACCUUCAAGUUUACCUUGAACGCAAACUGGAGAGCCGAACCGGAUUACAUAUCCCCAAUGUGCUGUGUGGAUCUCAUAGUGUCUUGGUUAUUUUGCUUCAUCAUGUUUUGUACUUCAUGGUUGCAUGUUCUCCACAGAAUCUAUUUUUCUCAAGAUGGUAAUGCGCAAAAACUGCAGCCUUUACUUUCAGAGUUGUUUGAUGUCUACGCCAGAUCGGGAACUAGAGAAAAUGUCAAUAUCAGUGGGGCGUUUCAUAUUUGA